rnacentral:rRNA from 1 species
GUUUAAGCAAUAAACAGUGAAACUGCGAAUGGCUCAUUAAAUCAGUCAUAGUUUAUUUGAUGGUACCUUACUACAUGGAUAACUGUGGUAAUUCUAGAGCUAAUACAUGCUGAAAAAUCCCGACUUCUGGAAGGGAUGUAUUUAUUAGAUCCAAAACCAAUGGCCUUCGGGUCCCUAUGGUGAAUCAUGAUAACUGCUCGAAUCGCAUGGCCUUGCGCCGGCGAUGCUUCAUUCAAAUAUCUGCCCUAUCAACUUUCGAUGGUAGGAUAGAGGCCUACCAUGGUGAUGACGGGUAACGGGGAAUAAGGGUUCGAUUCCGGAGAGAGGGCCUGAGAAACGGCCCUCAGGUCUAAGGACACGCAGCAGGCGCGCAAAUUAUCCCCUGGCAACACUUUGCCGAGAUAGUGACAAUAAAUAACAAUGCAGGGCUCUUACGGGUCUUGCAAUUGGAAUGAGUACAAUUUAAAUCCCUUAACGAGGAUCAAUUGGAGGGCAAGUCUGGUGCCAGCAGCCGCGGUAAUUCCAGCUCCAAUAGCGUAUAUUAAAAUUGUUGCCGUUAAAAAGCUCGUAGUCGAACUUCGGGCUCUGUCAGCCGGUCCGCCUUCUUGGUGUGUACUUGUUUGACGGAGCCUUACCUCCUGGUGAACGGCGAUGUCCUUUACUGGGUGUCGUCGCAAACCAGGACUUUUACUUUGAAAAAAUUAGAGUGUUCAAAGCAGGCCUUUGCCCGAAUACAUUAGCAUGGAAUAAUAAAAUAGGACGCGCGUUCCCAUUUUGUUGGUUUCUGAGAUCGCCGUAAUGAUUAAUAGGGAUAGUUGGGGGCAUUUGUAUUCCGUCGUCAGAGGUGAAAUUCUUGGAUUGCCGGAAGACAAACUACUGCGAAAGCAUUUGCCAAGGAUGUUUUCAUUGAUCAAGAACGAAGGAAGGGGGAUCGAAAACGAUUAGAUACCGUUGUAGUCUCUUCUGUAAACUAUGCCAAUUGGGGAUCGGUACAGGAUUUUUAAUGACUGUAUCGGCACCCGAAGAGAAAUCUUUAAAUGAGGUUCGGGGGGGAGUAUGGUCGCAAGGCUGAAACUUAAAGGAAUUGACGGAAGGGCACCACCAGGUGUGGAGCCUGCGGCUUAAUUUGACUCAACACGGGGAAACUCACCAGGUCCAGACACAAUAAGGAUUGACAGAUUGAUAGCUCUUUCUUGAUCUUGUGGUUGGUGGUGCAUGGCCGUUCUUAGUUGGUGGAGUGAUUUGUCUGGUUAAUUCCGAUAACGAACGAGACCUUAACCUGCUAAAUAGACCAGCCGGCUUUGGCUAGCUGCUGUCUUCUUAGAGGGACUAUCAGCGUUUAGCUGAUGGAAGUUUGAGGCAAUAACAG